rnacentral:rRNA from 1 species
CGGGGGGAGCAAGCGUUGUUCGGAUUUACUGGGCGUAAAGGGCGCGUAGGCGGCCACCGCAAGUCGACUGUGAAAUCUCUGGGCUUAACCCAGAAAGGUCAGCCGAUACUGCGGGGCUAGAGUGCAGAGGGGGCAACUGGAAUUCUCGGUGUAGCGGUGAAAUGCGUAGAUAUCGAGAGGAACACCUGCGGCGAAGGCGGGUUGCUGGGCUGACACUGACGCUGAAGCGCGAAAGCUAGGGGAGCGAACGGGAUUAGAUACCCCGGUAGUCCUAGCCUUAAACGAUGAAUGCUUGGUGUCUGGGGUUUUAUAGUCCCCGGGUGCCGUCGCUAACGCUUUAAGCAUUCCGCCUGGGGAGUACGGUCGCAAGACUG